rnacentral:SRP_RNA from 1 species
GCUGGGCGCAGUGGCAGGUGCCUGUAGUCCCAGCUACUUGGAGGCUUAGGUGGGAGGACUGCUUGAGCCCAGGAGUUCUGGGCUGUAGUGCGCUAUGCCAAUCGGGUGUCUGCACUAAGUUUGGCAUCAAUAUGGUGACCUCCCGGGAGCAGGGGACCACCAGGUUGCGUAAGGAGGGGUGAACCAGCCCAGGUCAGAAACGGAGCAGGUCAAAACUCCCGUGCUGAUCAGCAGUAGGAUCACGCCUGUGAAUAGCCACCGCACUCCAGCCUGGGCAACAUAGCGAGACCCCGUCUCU